GACGAACGCUGGCGGCGUGCUUAACACAUGCAAGUCGAGCGGUAAGGCCCUUUCGGGGGUACGACGAGCGGCGAACGGGUGAGUAACACGUGGGUGACCUGCCCUCAGCUCUGGGAUAAGCCUGGGAAACCGGGUCUAAUAACCGGAUAUGACUCCAUGACGCAUGUUGUGGGGUGGAAAGCCUUGUGCGGCUGAGGAUGGGCCCGCGCCUAUCAGCUUGUUGGUGGGGUGAUGGCCUACCAAGGCGACGACGGGUAGCCGGCCUGAGAGGGCGACCGGCCACACUGGGACUGAGACACGGCCCAGACUCCUACGGGAGGCAGCAGUGGGGAAUCUUGCGCAAUGGGCGAAAGCCUGACGCAGCGACGCCGCGUGAGGGAUGACGGCCUGGUUGUAA
rnacentral:rRNA from 1 species